CAGGGUGCUAAAAGGCACAGGGAGGACCUUCACUAACUUGAAUCAUUUGUUGAGGGAUUUAUCUUACAUCCCUUCUGUCCUUGACCCUUGCCAGGCCCCUUAGAUGGCUUACUAGAAAGAAGACUGGGCUCCUGGACCCUCAGCUGGAGAAAAGUACAAAUCACAUUAUGCCUGGAUUUCCUCUCAACAUCUUCACAGAGGGAAAGAAACUGAAGAACAGGGUAUAUUAGUGCCUGACCAAAGAGUGAAUGAUUGGGUGGAGCACCCUGCCUGAGGAGAUGGAAACCUGGAACAAAGACGUGUUUUUGAAAUGUCUGUGGCUCUGCUUUGCCUCAUCUCUCCUGCUGGAUCUGAAGUGUAUUUUGGAUGGUGAGGUUGGAGGAAAGUUUAUACUCCUUGGGCAGGGCUGCUGCUAUGUCAUACCAGCUAUCCAAGCUCCUCAGGAAGAUAAGAAGUUAAUGGAACCCAAAGAUUCAGAGUUGCCUUUCUCCAGAAGCAAAGCUGUCAGGAUUUUGUACAGCAGCGCCUGGCAAUAAAGCAGAACCAUGCACCCAGCAACACCUUUGAUCUCGACCAUAUGGAGUUCCUCCUUGCUCUUGAAAAAAUCUCCCUUGUCUCCGAGAGAAACUGGGGCCCCCAGAUGGCCACAUACCACUCCUGACCACGACUUCAUUGAUUAUGCUAUUUUCUGAUUGGUCCUGAUUGAAAAUAAAUAAAACGUGCCUUUGGAAUGGGAUGCA
rnacentral:lncRNA from 1 species